rnacentral:rRNA from 1 species
CGCGGCCUUCAGCUUGUUGGUGGGGUAACGGCCUACCAAGGCAACGAUGGGUAGCUGGUCUGAGAGGAUGAUCAGCCACACUGGCACUGGAACACGGGCCAGACUCCUACGGGAGGCAGCGGUGAGGAAUAUUGGGCAAUGGGCGAAAGCCUGACCCAGCCACGCCGCGUGUGUGAUGAAGGCCUUCGGGUCGUAAAGCACUGUGGGGAGAGACGAACAUGCGCAGGAGGAAAUGCCUGCGUACUGACGGUACCUCCUUAGCAAGCACCGGCUAACUCUUGCCAGCAGCCGCGGUAAUACAGAGGGUGCAAACGUUGCUCGGAUUUACUGGGCGUAAAGCGCGUGUAGGCGGACUCGCAAGUCGGUUGUGAAAUCCCUGGGCUUAACCUAGGAACUGCAUCCGAAACUGCUUGUCUCGAGUAAUGGAGAGGGUGGCGGAAUUCCCGGUGUAGAGGUGAAAUUCGUAGAUAUCGGGAGGAACAUCAGUGGCGAAGGCGGCCACCUGGACAUUUACUGACGCUGAGACGCGAAAGCGUGGGGAGCAAACAGGAUUAGAUACCCUGGUAGUCCACGCCGUAAACGAUGAGAACUAGGUGCAGCGGAUAUUGACCUCUGCUGUGCCGUAGCUAACGCGUUAAGUUCCCCGCCUGGGGAGUACGG